AACGCACGAGACCUGCGGACCUGCGGAAGGAUCAUUAUUGAGUGUUAAACUCCCUGUAAAAAGGGAGGAACCUCCUGUCCUUUGCAGGCCCUUUUAAGGGGCUUUUUUGACUUUCUGCUUCGGUGGGGUUAUCCUACCGGAACAACUUCAAAACUCUGAUUAAAAAACUGUUCUGUCCGAGUGUUUUAUAAUAUGAAAAAAAAAACUUUUAACAACGGAUCUCUAGAUCGGAAGAGCACA
rnacentral:misc_RNA from 1 species